GACGAACGCUGGCGGCGUGCCUAAUACAUGCAAGUCGAACGCUUCUUUCCUCCCGAGUGCUUGCGCUCAAUUGGAAAGAGGAGUGGCGGACGGGUGAGUAACACGUGGGUAACCUACCCAUCAGAGGGGGAUGACACUUGGAAACAGGUGCUAAUACCGCAUAACAGUUUAUGCCGCAUGGCAUAAGAGUGAAAGGCGCUUUCGGGUGUCGCUGAUGGAUGGACCCGCGGUGCAUUAGCUAGUUGGUGAGGUAACGGCUCACCAAGGCCACGAUGCAUAGCCGACCUGGGAGGGUGAUCGGCCACACUGGGACUGAGACACGGCCCAGACUCCUACGGGAGGCAGCAGUAGGGAAUCUUCGGCAAUGGACGAAAGUCUGACCGAGCAACGCCGCGUGAGUGAAGAAGGUUUUCGGAUCGUAAAACUCUGUUGUUAGAGAAGAACAAGGACGUUAGUAACUGAACGUCCCCUGACGGUAUCUAACCAGAAAGCCACGGCUAACUACGUG
rnacentral:rRNA from 1 species